rnacentral:rRNA from 1 species
AUAGCGGAUAGGACCACCACCUCAUGGUGGAGGGUGGAAAGUUUUAUCGGCACGGAUGGGCUCGCGGCCUAUCAGCUUGUUGGUGGGGUAACGGCCUACCAAGGCGAUUACGGGUAGCCGGCCUGAGAGGGCGACCGGCCUACUGGGACUGAGACACGGCCCAGACUCCUGCGGGAGGCAGCAGUGGGGAAUAUUGCACAAUGGGCGAAAGCCUGAUGCAGCGACGCCGCGUGGGGGAUGACGGCCUUCGGGUUGUAAACCUCUUUUACCACCAACGCAGGCUCCACGUUCUCGUGGGGUUGACGGUAGGUGGGGAAUAAGGACCGGCUAACUACGUGCCAGCAGCCGCGGUAAUACGUAGGGUCCGAGCGUUGUCCGGAAUUAUUGGGCGUAAAGAGCUCGUAGGCGGCAUGUCGCGUCUGCUGUGAAAGACCGGGGCUUAACUCCGGUUUCUGCAGUGGAUACGGGCAUGCUAGAGGUAGGUAGGGGAGACUGGAAUUCCUGGUGUAGCGGUGAAAUGCGCAGAUAUCAGGAGGAACACCGGUGGCGAAGGGCGGGUCUCUGGGCCUUACCUGACGCUGAGGAGCGAAAGCAUGGGGAGCGAACAGGAUUAGAUACCCUGGUAGUCCAUGCCGUAAACGUUGGGCGCUAGGUGUGGGGACUUUCCACGGUUUCCGCGCCGUAGCUAACGCAUUAAGCGCCCCGCCUGGGGAGUACGGCCGCAAGGCUAAAACUCAAAGGAAUUGACGGGGGCCCGCACAAGCGGCGGAGCAUGUUGCUUAAUUCGACGCAACGCGAAGAACCUUACCAAGGUUUGACAUCACCCGUGGACCUGUAGAGAUACAGGGUCAUUUAGUUGGUGGGUGACAGGUGGUGCAUGGCUGUCGUCAGCUCGUGUCGUGAGAUGUUGGGUUAAGUCCCGCAACGAGCGCAACCCUUGUUCCAUGUUGCCAGCACGUAAUGGUGGGGACUCAUGGGAGACUGCCGGGGUCAACUCGGAGGAAGGUGGGGACGACGUCAAGUCAUCAUGCCCCUUAUGUCUUGGGGUGCAAACAUGAUACAAUGGCCAGUACAAUGGGCGUGCGAUACCGUAAGGUGGAGUGAAUCCCUUAAAGCCGGUCUCAGAUCCGAUUGGGGUCAGCAACUCGACCCCUUGAAAGUGGAGUCGAUAG